GAGGGGCUGGAGAAAGAGGAGAGGCUGAGUCCCUAGUUCAAAGUGGCCUGUGUCCCCUCUGCUGUUUUGUACAUUGAAUGACGGCCAGAAAGACGCCUCCAGUUAUCUGCUGUGGACAGGCAGAAAAAUCUAGGAGUAGGGUUGCUGGCUCGUGGGGUAACAUGGUUGGGUCUGACAAACAGCUGCCCAGAUGGCUGAUCCUGCGGCGUCACACCUUCCUGAAUUUGGGAUACUGUCAAUCUUCCAGUGUGGACUCUUCCUGUGUUUGUGCGGUGGGAUUUCAUUAUGGCUUCCAUUUGAAUGUCCCCGCUGGUUAAUAAGGAAACAUUCUGACCAGGCCAACCAGUGAAUGGCUGCAGGAAAGAAGAAAUUAACACAUUCUGGUCAUAACCAAGACUUCCUCCCUCCCUUUUAGUAUAAAAGAAGCCUGAACUCUAACUUGGGGAAGAUGGUUAUUUGGGACACAAGUCCAUCAUCUUCUCAGCCUGCUGACUUUCUGAAUAAAGUUGCUAUACU